UUAAGUUCAGCGGGUAUCCCUACCUGAUCCGAGGUCAACCUUGAUAAAAUUUGGGGUUGCUGGCAGGCACAUAGCCGGUCAUCCAAAGCGAGAAGAAUUACUACGCUUGAAGCCGAAUGGCACCGCCACUGAUUUUACGGCCCGCCCUAGCGGGUGAGGCCUAAUACCAAGCAGAGCUUGAGGGUUGUAAUGACGCUCGA
rnacentral:misc_RNA from 1 species